GAUGAAGAACGUAGCGAAAUGCGAUAGGUAAUGUGAAUUGCAGAAUUCAGUGAAUCAUCGAAUCUUUGAACGCACAUUGCGCCCGCUAGUAUUCUGGCGGGCAUGCCUGUCCGAGCGUCAUUUCAACCCUCAAGCCCCCGGGCUUGGUGUUGGGGAUCGGCGAGCCUCCGCGCCCGCCGUCCCCUAAAUCUAGUGGCGGUCUCGCUGUAGCUUCCUCUGCGUAGUAGCACACCUCGCACUGGGAAACAGCGCGGCCACGCCGUUAAACCCCCAACUUCUGAACGUUUGACCUCGGAUCAGGUAGGAAUACCCGCUGAACUUAAGCAUAUCAAUAAGCGGAGGA
rnacentral:misc_RNA from 1 species